GACAGCAGCCGCCGCGGUAAUACAGAGGGUGCGAGCGUUAAUCGGAUUUACUGGGCGUAAAGCGUGCGUAGGCGGCUUUUUAAGUCGGAUGUGAAAUCCCUGAGCUUAACUUAGGAAUUGCAUUCGAUACUGGGAAGCUAGAGUAUGGGAGAGGAUGGUAGAAUUCCAGGUGUAGCGGUGAAAUGCGUAGAGAUCUGGAGGAAUACCGAUGGCGAAGGCAGCCAUCUGGCCUAAUACUGACGCUGAGGUACGAAAGCAUGGGGAGCAAACAGGAUUAGAUACCCCGGUAGUCCCUGUCUCUUAUAC
rnacentral:rRNA from 1 species